GGGCUUAUAGGUAAGUGGCAUACCGGUGCAUUCGCAUUGCACAGUCCCGAGUUCGAUUCUCGGUAAGUCCA
rnacentral:tRNA from 2 species